GUAACGAGCGCAACCCUUGUCCUUAGUUACCAGCACGUAAUGGUGGGAACUCUAAGGAGACUGCCGGUGACAAACCGGAGGAAGGUGGGGAUGACGUCAAGUCAUCAUGGCCCUUACGGCUAGGGCUACACACGUGCUACAAUGGUCGGUACAAAGGGUUGCCAAGCCGCGAGGUGGAGCUAAUCCCAUAAAACCGAUCGUAGUCCGGAUCGCAGUCUGCAACUCGACUGCGUGAAGUCGGAAUCGCUAGUAAUCGUGAAUCAGAAUGUCACGGUGAAUACGUUCCCGGGCCUU
rnacentral:rRNA from 1 species